rnacentral:rRNA from 1 species
CUGAGAGGAUGACCAGCCACACUGGAACUGAGACACGGUCCAGACUCCUACGGGAGGCAGCAGUGGGGAAUAUUGCACAAUGGGCGCAAGCCUGAUGCAGCCAUGCCGCGUGUAUGAAGAAGGCCUUCGGGUUGUAAAGUACUUUCAGCGGGGAGGAAGGGAGUAAAGUUAAUACCUUUGCUCAUUGACGUUACCCGCAGAAGAAGCACCGGCUAACUCCGUGCCAGCAGCCGCGGUAAUACGGAGGGUGCAAGCGUUAAUCGGAAUUACUGGGCGUAAAGCGCACGCAGGCGGUUUGUUAAGUCAGAUGUGAAAUCCCCGGGCUCAACCUGGGAACUGCAUCUGAUACUGGCAAGCUUGAGUCUCGUAGAGGGGGGU